rnacentral:rRNA from 1 species
UACAGAGGUCCCAAGCGUUGUUCGGAUUCACUGGGCGUAAAGGGUGCGUAGGUGGUGAGGUAAGUCUGAUGUGAAAUCUCCGAGCUCAACUCGGAAAAUGCAUUGGAUACUAUCUUGCUAGAGGAUUGGAGGGGGGACUGGAAUUCUCGGUGUAGCAGUGAAAUGCGUAGAUAUCGAGAGGAACACCAGUGGCGAAGGCGAGUCCCUGGACAACUCCUGACACUGAGGCACGAAAGCUAGGGGAGCAAACAGG